GUUAUCCGGAAUUAUUGGGCGUAAAGAGCUCGUAGGCGGUUUGUCGCGUCUGCUGUGAAAUCCCGAGGCUCAACCUCGGGCCUGCAGUGGGUACGGGCAGACUAGAGUGCGGUAGGGGAGAUUGGAAUUCCUGGUGUAGCGGUGGAAUGCGCAGAUAUCAGGAGGAACACCGAUGGCGAAGGCAGAUCUCUGGGCCGUAACUGACGCUGAGGAGCGAAAGGGUGGGGAGCAAACAGGCUUAGAUACCCUGGUAGUCCACCCCGUAAACGUUGGGAACUAGUUGUGGGGACCAUUCCACGGUUUCCGUGACGCAGCUAACGCAUUAAGUUCCCCGCCUGGGGAGUACGGCCGCAAGGCUAAAACUCAAAGGAAUUGACGGGGACCCGCACAAGCGGCGGAGCAUGCGGAUUAAUUCGAUGCAACGCGAAGAACCUUACCAAGGCUUGACAUACACCAGAACGGGCCAGAAAUGGUCAACUCUUUGGACACUGGUGAACAGGUGGUGCAUGGUUGUCGUCAGCUCGUGUCGUGAGAUGUUGGGUUAAGUCCCGCAACGAGCGCAACCCUCGUUCUAUGUUGCCAGCACGUAAUGGUGGGAACUCAUGGGAUACUGCCGGGGUCAACUCGGAGGAAGGUGGGGAUGACGUCAAAUCAUCAUGCCCCUUAUGUCUUGGGCUUCACGCAUGCUACAAUGGCCGGUACAAAGGGCUGCAAUACCGUGAGGUGGAGCGAAUCCCAAAAAGCCGGUCCCAGUUCGGAUUGAGGUCUGCAACUCGACCUCAUGAGGUCGGAGUCGCUAGUAAUCGCA
rnacentral:rRNA from 1 species